CUCCGUACUUUUCGCAGAGCAGAAAGCUCCAGCUGAGCUCACCCCGCAGCAAUUGGCGCCCAGUAAGUGAGAGGGUGCUGCCCUCAGCCCCCGUGGGCAUUUAUGAAGGUUGCCUCUCAACGCGGAUCACCAGCAAACAGCAUCGUGCUUGAAAGUGUGAGCUUUUAAGUUAAAAAAAAGUGCACAUAAAUAAAAGGUGGGGGGAGAAGGCAAAUUGCUGGCUUGCUGAAAGCGGUCGUGUACCCCUGCAUGCCGAGCAAGCUGCUUGACAGUGGUUCAGGUUCCCACGGCACGAGGGGCUGCAGGCUCUCUCCUGGGCUGUCCCAUUUCCAGCACAUCGCGAAUCCUUGCCAGCUCUGUGUCCUUGCUGAGGACAAGGGCACGGAGCUCACUUAGCCCAGUGGUCAGUGGUGAUCUUUUGAUUAUUUGUCUAGGUUCAUCACAUCAAUUGCUGUUGCUACUGUUUGGAGCUCAUAGGUUAAUGUUUUAUACGUUAGUUUAUUGCUUUCCUUCUCCCUUUAGUUCCUGGGUUCUUUGUGAAUUUAGCCUGUACCAAUAUUUAAUAUGAGCUGUUGCUGCAUCUUAUCAGCACAAGCUGCCCUUCAGUCCCCUCCCCACUUUGCUUUCACUCACCACAUCUAACCUGGGUGCUUAAUUUAGACUGAAAGCCCUCUGAGAAAGGCAAUAUGCGUUUGGAUAACUUUUAUUUAUUUCCCUAACAAAGAUGACUUUUUUCUUUCUGGAAGCGUGGUCUGCAUUGCCAAGGUUUAAAUAAUAAAUUAUUAAAAUAAGGAUACACACUUAAACAGUUAAACCAAAAACAAAAC